UGCCAGCAGCCGCGGUAAUACGAAGGUCCCAAGCGUUGUUCGGAAUUACUGGGCGUAAAGGGUGCGUAGGCGGUAUGGAAAGUUGGAUGUGAAAGGCAGGGGCUCAACCCUUGGACUGCAUUCGAAACUCCCAUACUGGAGUACUGGAGAGGAAACUGGAAUUCUCGGUGUAGCAGUGAAAUGCGUAGAUAUCGAGAGGAACACCAAUGGCGAAAGCAAGUUUCUGGACAGUUACUGACGCUGAGGCACGAUGGCUAGGGUAGCGAAAGGGAUUAGAUA
rnacentral:rRNA from 1 species